rnacentral:rRNA from 1 species
UCUUCGGCAAUGGGCGCAAGCCCGACCGAGCGACGCCGCGUGUGCGAUGAAGGCCUUCGGGUUGUAAAGCACUGUCGAGGGGGAGGAAGGCCGCAAGGCCUGACCUAUCCCUGGAGGAAGCACGGGCUAAGUUCGUGCCAGCAGCCGCGGUAAGACGAACCGUGCGAACGUUGUUCGGAAUCACUGGGCUUAAAGGGCGCGUAGGCGGGCAUCCGAGUCAGGGGUGAAAGCCCCCGGCCCAACCGGGGAAGUGCCCCUGAUACCGGGUGUCUCGAGGAGGGUAGGGGUCGCCGGAACUUCCGGUGGAGCGGUGAAAUGCGUAGAUAUCGGAAGGAACGCCGGUGGCGAAAGCGGGCGACUGGACCCUUUCUGACGCUGAGGCGCGAAAGCCAGGGGAGCGAAC